CAGCCGCCGCGGGAAUACGUAGGUGGCAAGCGUUGUCCGGAAUUAUUGGGCGUAAAGGGCUCGCAGGCGGUUUUUUAAGUCUGAUGUGAGAGCCCCCGGCUCAACCGGGGAGGGUCAUUGGAAACUGGGAAACUUGAGUGCAGAAGAGGAGAGUGGAAUUCCACGUGUAGCGGUGAAAUGCGUAGAGAUGUGGAGGAACACCAGUGGCGAAGGCGACUCUCUGGUCUGUAACUGACGCUGAGGAGCGAAAGCGUGGGGAGCGAACAGGAUUAGAUACCCCCGUAGUCCCUGUCUCUUAUAA
rnacentral:rRNA from 1 species